UACGUAGGGUGCGAGCGUUAAUCGGAAUUACUGGGCGUAAAGGGUGCGCAGGCGGUCCUGCAAGUCAGGCGUGAAAUCCCCGGGCUUAACCUGGGAAUGGCAGUGGAAACUGGCGAGCUUGAGUGUGGCAGAGGGGGGUGGAAUUCCCGGUGUAGCGGUGAAAUGCGCAGAUAUCGGGAAGAACACCCGUGGCGAAGGCGGCUCUCUGGGACGGUACUGACGCUGAGACGCGAAAGCGUGGGGAGCGAACAGG
rnacentral:rRNA from 1 species